AUUGAACGCUGGCGGCAUGCUUUACACAUGCAAGUCGAACGGUAACAGGCCGCAAGGUGCUGACGAGUGGCGAACGGGUGAGUAAUGCAUCGGAACGUGCCCAGUCGUGGGGGAUAACGCAGCGAAAGCUGCGCUAAUACCGCAUACGAUCUAUGGAUGAAAGCGGGGGACCGUAAGGCCUCGCGCGAUUGGAGCGGCCGAUGUCAGAUUAGGUAGUUGGUGGGGUAAAGGCUGACCAAGCCAACGAACUGUAGCUGGUCUGGAAGGACGACCAGCCACACUGGGAAGGAGAAACGGCCCAGACUCCUACGGGAGGCAGCAGUGGGGAAUUUUGGACAAUGGGCGCAAGCCUGAUCCAGCAAUGCCGCGUGCAGGAAGAAGGCCUUCGGGUUGUAAACUGCUUUUGUACGGAACGAAACGGUCCUGGUUAAUACCCGGGGCUAAUGACGGUACCGUAAGAAUAAGCACCGGCUAACUACGUGCCAGCCGCCGCAGUAAAAC
rnacentral:rRNA from 1 species